rnacentral:rRNA from 1 species
CCUACGGGAGGCAGCAGUGGGGAAUAUUGCACAAUGGGGGCAACCCUGAUGCAGCGAAGCCGCGUGAGUGAAGACGUAUUUCGGUAUGUAAAGCUCUAUCAGCAGGGAAGAAAUAAAGUCCUUCGGACUUUGGACGGUACCUGACUAAGAAGCCCCGGCUAACUACGUGCCAGCAGCCGCGGUAAUACAUAGGGCGCAAGCGUUAUCCGGAUGUACUGGGUGUAAAGGGAGCGUAGACGGCAGCGCAAGUCUGGAGUGAAAUCCCAUGGCUUAACCAUGGAACUGCUUUGGAAACUGUGCAGCUGGAGUGCAGGAGAGGUAAGCGGAAUUCCUAGUGUAGCGGUGAAAUGCGUAGAUAUUAGGAGGAACACCAGUGGCGAAGGCGGCUUACUGGACUGUAACUGACGUUGAGGCUCGAAAGCGUGGGGAGCAAACAGGAUUAGAUACCCGAGUAGUC